rnacentral:snoRNA from 1 species
AUGUCAGGCGUCAUAGGAUCCUUUCUAUACGCGUGACCGCCGAGAUGCAUCCGCGAUCGGAAAACACCUUCGACCACGAUGAGGAGUUGGGGGUCUUCGCCUGAGUGAGAAGGCGGUGACGCAGCCUCGGGUUCGAAGCCCGGCUUCCUUCAUUUAUGACCAUUCCCUGGAACCGUGAUUGGACUGAGGGAUGGCGAAGACCCUGUAUCUGUGGC